ACAAAACUAACUGGGCCUGAAGAGCUCAAAUUUUAAUAUAGAGAUUAAAUUGAAUAUAGUUUGAGGCUAGGCUCCCUUUUAAAUUAAUUAGAACUGAUAAGGAUUAAUUAUAAAUUAACUAAUUGUGUUUCUGGGCCUGAAUACAAAUGGGCCCAGUAAUUGAAUCAGGCCACGGGCCUGAUCCAGAAACCAAUUAAACUUUGGGCCUGAAUGCAAAUGGGCCCUGACCUGAACCAGAGAGCAAUUGGGUCAAACCCGAACCAGAAGGUGAACCAGACCUGAACCAGGAAUUUAACCAAAUCUGAACCAGGAAGUAGAUUAGACCAGAACCAGAAAUUGAAUUGGGCCAUGGGCCUGAACCAGAAAUUAAAUUGGGCUAUGGACCCGAAAAUGAAAUUGAGUCCUAUGGAUGGGUUGUAAAUGACUUUAAGAUUAUAAAUAAAUAGAAAUUAAAUAUGUAAGUGACAUGUAAUUUAAUGAUCUUGCUAGGUCUUGAAGAAUUGGCAUUUGAUGGGCAAAUUAAGAUGAAUAGGAGAUGCUAGGAACAAGGAGCGUGACAUGCUUCAGGGUUAUGGGGAAAAAAGAAAUGACACAUUAAAUGUUGCUAUUUUUAGAUGCUUGUAAUCAAUCUUUUAUUGAUGAAACAUUUGAAGUUUUU